AGGCUGAAGCGCCAAAGAAGAAAGAUGAGGCAGAAGUCCAAGUAAACCGCUAGCUUGUUGCACCGUGGAGGCCACAGGAGCAGAAACAUGGAACACCAGACGCUGGGGAUGCUGGUACAACUUGUCUCAAUGGAUCUAGAACUUCAUCGCCCUCUGAUCGCCGAUCACCUCUGAGACCCAACUUGCUCAUAAACAAAACUGCCCAUGUCGGUCCUCUGCCCUGGACCUGUGACAUUCUGGACUAUUUCUGUGUUUAUUUGUGGCCGAGUGUAACAACCAUAUAAUAAAUCACCUCUUCCGCUGUUUUAGCUG
rnacentral:lncRNA from 1 species